rnacentral:rRNA from 1 species
GAGUUUGAUCCUGGCUCAGAUUGAACGCUGGCGGCAUGCCUUACACAUGCAAGUCGAACGGCAGCAUGAUCUAGCUUGCUAGAUUGAUGGCGAGUGGCGAACGGGUGAGUAAUACAUCGGAACGUGCCCUGUAGUGGGGAUAACUAGUCGAAAGAUUAGCUAAUACCGCAUACGACCUGAGGGUGAAAGUGGGGGACCGCAAGGCCUCAUGCUAUAGGAGCGGCCGAUGUCUGAUUAGCUAGUUGGUGGGUAAAGGCCCACCAAGGCGACGAUCAGUAGCUGGUCUGAGAGGACGAUCAGCCACACUGGGACUGAGACACGGCCCAGACUCCUACGGGAGGCAGCAGUGGGGAAUUUUGGACAAUGGGCGAAAGCCUGAUCCAGCAAUGCCGCGUGUGUGAAGAAGGCC